rnacentral:rRNA from 1 species
CGCCAGGAAACUACAAGCACCAACUUAAAACCCAAAGGACCUGGCGGUGUCUCAAACCCCUCUAGAGGAGCCUGUUCCAGAACCGAUAACCCCCGUUCAACCUCACCCCUUCUUGCAAUUUCCGCCUAUAUACCGCCGUCGCCAGCCUACCUCUUGAGAGCCUAACAGCAGGCAAAACAGGCAUCACCCUAAAACGUCAGGUCGAGGUGUAGCACACGAAGUGGAAGGAAUGGGCUACACUUCCUAAUCUAGGACACCACGGACCCCCACCAUGAAACCGUGCCCGAAGGCGGAUUUAGAAGUAAGAAGGAAAAGAAUAUUCUUCUGAA